rnacentral:lncRNA from 1 species
UCAGACCCCACGUGGCAUCACCAAGCCGGGUGGGCUGUAGCAAGUUUAGGGGCCACAGGGCCACAAGUGCAAACCACUGAGACUUAUGGAGGCAUUAUCACACGUCAUUGUCACAACUCCAUAAAGUAGGCCUGUUAUUAUCCCCAUUGUCCAAAUAAGGGAGCAGAGGCCUGGCGCGGUGGUUCAUGCUUGUAAUCCCAGCACUUUGGGAGGCCGAGGCAGGCAGAUCACCUGAGGUCAGUCCCACAUUUAUUAUUCCUGCCACCAGCCGCAGGUUAGAGGCCAGGACUACACUGUCGUCUGGACUGGAUACCGGACCAGCCAGCUCCUGCCUCCAGGAAGGGAAGACUGAAGGAGCCAUGAACGGAGGGAGGCAGGCAGUUAGCUGUGUGACCUCACGCAAGGCAUGCAACUCUCCUGGGCCUCUGUUUCCGUCGAGGCUGCAGUGAGCUGUGAUCGCACCACUGCACUCCAGCCUGGGCAACAGAGUGAGACCCUGUCUCAAAAAAAAAAAAAAAUCAUCAAAAGAAAGCAAUUCAUAUUCUACUUCAAUAAAAAGUUGUUUUUCCUUAAAGGGAGCUCUUGUUAAUAAGAGGUAGGUGGUAAACAUAGUGUGCUUCAGGAGAAGGAGCUGGGCUCUGGAGGUUACCUCUUGGUUUUUGUUUUUGUUUGAGACAGAGUCUUGCUCUGUUGCCCAGGCUGGAGGGCAGGGCGCAGUCUCAGCUCACUGCAACCUCCAUCUCCCAGGUUCAAGCAAUUCUCCUGCCUCAGCCUCCCAAAUAGCUGAGAUUACAGGUGUGCACCAACAUGCCCGGCUAAUUUUUCUAUUUUUAGUAGAGACAGGGUUUCACCAUGUUGGACAGGCUGGUCUCAAACUCCUGGCCUCAGGCGAUCCACCCACAUCAGCCUCCCAAAGUGCUGGGAUUACAGGCGUGAGCCACCACGCCAGACCUGGAGGUCACCUCUUUGGGUCUCAGUUUCCCCAGGUGGAGGUAGGAGGGCACGGUGGGAAAGAGGACAGGAUAGGAAAUAAGAGAGACCUAGGCUUAAGUCUUACACACCAACUAGAAACUUAACUUCUUUGAGCCUCCAUUUCCCCACCUGCAAAAUGGAGAUAACAUAGCAGCCACGCUGGAACACUCCAUGAACAUUUAAAUGAGGUAAUACAUUUAAAUAAGGUAUAAAAUGCUCAGUAUGCUGCCUGGCACAUUAGCUAGCAAUCAGUCUCUAGACAGUCAGGGGACUAAUAUCCACUAGCAUGCAGAGAGGUUUGUGGUGGUUACAAUGAAGUACAAUCUAUAAUGUCCCCAACAUGAUGGAUUUGAAGGCUCAAUGGAUAUUCCUGGCGCCACCCGCCCUAAAAGCUCAUCAUCCACAGAUCUGAAGAGCUGCCCCCGAAAACAGAACAUACUCUUCAAAAGGUCAAAGGAGUUAAACAAAUAUUUUAUAAAAAAGGGAAUUCAGGCCACCAUCAGUGAAAAAAAUUCCCUGUCUUCCUAGAAGUUUAAAAAACAUAAAAUAGAUCCAGCAAUCCCACUGCUGAGUAUUUAUCCAAAAGAUUUAAAGUCAGUUUGGGGAAGAGAGCUGCAGUCCUGUGUUCACUGUGACACUAUUCACAAUAGCCAAGCUAUGGAACCAACCUAAGCAUCCAUCAAUAGUACUUCAUUGUGUGCAUAUACCACAUUUCUUUAUCCAGAAUGGAAUACUAUUUAGCCUUUUAAAAGAAGGAAAUUACAGGCUCACGCCUGUAAUCCCAGUGCCUUGGGAGGCCGAGGUGGGUGGAUCACUUGAGGUCAGAAGUUCGAGAACAGCCUGACGAACAUGGCGAAACCUUGUCUCUACUAAAAAUACAAAAAUUAGCCGGGCAUGGUGGUGUGCGCCUAUAAUCCCAGCUACUCAGGAGGCUGAGGCAAGAGAACCACUUGA